GAUAAACGCUGACAGAAUGCUUAACACAUGCAAGUCGAUGAUGGGAGCUAGCUUGCUAGAAGAAGUCAUGGCGGACGGGUGAGUAACGUGUAAAGAACUUACCAUAUAGACUGGGAUAACAGAGGGAAACUUCUGAUAAUACUGGAUAAGUUAGAAGUAGCAUUACUAAGUAAUGAAAGGUAGCAAUACGCUAUAUGAGAGCUUUGCAUCCUAUUAGCUAGUUGGUGGGGUAAAAGCCUACCAAGGCGAUGAUAGGUAGCCGGCCUGAGAGGGUGGACGGCCACAAGGGGACUGAGAUACGGCCCUUACUCCUACGGGAGGCAGCAGUGGGGAAUAUUGGACAAUGGAGGCAACUCUGAUCCAGCAAUUCUGUGUGUGUGAAGAAGGUUUUAGGACUGUAAAACACUUUUAGUAGGGAAGAAAGAAAUGACGGUACCUACAGAAGAAGCGACGGCUAAAUACGUGCCAGCAGCCGCGGUAAUACGUAUGUCGCGAGCGUUAUCCGGAAUUAUUGGGCUUAAAGGGCAUCUAGGCGGUUAAACAAGUUGAAGGUGAAAACCUGUGGCUCAACCAUAGGCUUGCCUACAAAACUGUAUAACUAGAGUACUGGAAAGGUGGGUGGAACUACACGAGUAGAGGUGAAAUUCGUAGAUAUGUGUAGGAAUGCCGAUGAUGAAGAUAACUCACUGGACAGCAACUGACGCUGAAGUGCGAAAGCUAGGGGAGCAAACAGG
rnacentral:rRNA from 1 species